rnacentral:tRNA from 1 species
UUAGAAGGUGGUGUAUAGGAAGCACCAAGAGUUUUGAUCUCUUUAGUAUGGGUUCAAGUCCCUUCUUUCUAAG